rnacentral:tRNA from 1 species
AACCUUGUAGCUCAGUGGUAGAGCUCCUGGUGCUGUUCCAGGGUCCUGGGUUCAAUUCCCUGUGAGGUCA